rnacentral:rRNA from 1 species
AACGAACGCUGGCGGCAUGCCUAACACAUGCAAGUCGAACGAGACCUUCGGGUCUAAUGGCGCACGGGUGCGUAACGCGUGGGAACCUGCCCUUAGGUUCGGAAUAACUCCCCGAAAGGGGUGCUAAUACCGGAUAAUGUCUUCGGACCAAAGAUUUAUCGCCUUUGGAUGGGCCCGCGUUGGAUUAGCUAGUUGGUAGGGUAAAAGCCUACCAAGGCGACGAUCCAUAGCUGGUCUGAGAGGAUGAUCAGCCACACUGGGACUGAGACACGGCCCAGACUCCUACGGGAGGCAGCAGUGGGGAAUAUUGGACAAUGGGCGAAAGCCUGAUCCAGCAAUGCCGCGUGAGUGAUGAAGGCCUUAGGGUUGUAAAGCUCUUUUACCCGGGAUGAUAAUGACAGUACCGGGAGAAUAAACUCCGGCUAACUCCGU